rnacentral:lncRNA from 1 species
CUCUGUGGGAGAAUCUGUUUCCUGGCCGUGGAGGUGGCCUGCACUCCUCAGCUUGUGCUGCCCGUCUCGAAUGACUGGAGUUUCCUGCUUCUGUCACUACACCUCCCACCCUCUCCAUCACCUGCUCUGCUCUUAUAAGGAUCUGGAGAAAUGGAAUAAUGGUAUCGCUGAUCUACGUAAACAAAUUGAAGAAUUGUCUGAAAGAAAGUAUGACAUGAACUUAUGAAUUCAACAGGUGAAGAUUUACAACUUGAUAAAUCAGCUUCGUGGGCUCGAGCUGUAAAAGCCAAAGGUCCGGUGAUGAUCCCAUACCCUUUUUUCCAGUCUCAUGUUGAAGAUUUUUAUGUAGAAGGCCUUCCCAAAGGAAUUUUUUUUUUUUUUUUUUUUUUUUUUUUUGAGAUGGAGUUUUCGCUCUUAUCGCCCAGGCUGGGGUGCAAUGGUGCAACCUUGCUGGUCACUGCAACCUCUGCCUCCUGGGUUCAGGAAAUUCUCCUGCCUUAGCCUCCCAAGUCGCUGGGAUUACAGGUGCCCACCGCCACACCAGGCUAAUUUUUGUAUUUUUAGUGGAGAUGGGGUUUCACCAUGUUGGCCAGACCAGUCUUGAACUCCUGACGUCAAGUGAUCUUCCCGCCUCGGCCUCCCAGAGUGCUGAGAUUACAGACAUGAACCCAUGCCUGGCCAGGAAUUUUGUUUUUUAGGAAGGCUUUCUACUAAUGGAAUUCCUGGCCUUGAGAGGAUAUUACUUUCGAAGGAAAGGACUUUUUUGUUAUUAAAAGCUGGACCUACCAUGAAAGACUUCUGAAUCCAGGAAGAGAGACUGACUGGGCAACGUGUUAUUCAGAAACAGGACCUUGCCCUGUCAUUUAGGAUGGAGUUCAGUGGUCCAAUCAUGGCUCAUUGUAGCCUCAAACUCCCAGGCUCAAGCAAUCCUACCAUGUCAGCCUUCCCAGUAGCUGGGACUACAG